UUUUCAUGCAUACUUUCAACAGUCAAAUAUUCAUGUUGCAUUUUUUGCCAUAUAUCUUUUGUUUGUUGUCUCCUGCUAAUUGGUGAUAUAGAUCUCCCCAGUAGAUCUCCCCAAGCAGAUGUUAGGUGUCUAAUCUUUCAAUAUAGAGUCAGCCCCAUAAGCAGAAAGUGUCUGUCUUUUCUUCUGCAGUUCCCCAGUGAGAUAUUUCCUCGUGGAUGACGG
rnacentral:lncRNA from 1 species